UACGUAGGGGGCAAGCGUUGUCCGGAUUUAUUGGGCGUAAAGAGCGUGUAGGCGGCCCUACAGGUCAGCUGUGAAAACUCGAGGCUCAACCUCGAGACGUCGGUUGAAACCGUAAGGCUAGAGUCCGGAAGAGGAGAGUGGAAUUCCCGGUGUGAGCGGUGAAAUGCGCAGAUAUCGGGAAGAACGACCCGUGGCGAAGGCGGCUCUCUGGGACGGUACUGACGCGUGAGACG
rnacentral:rRNA from 1 species